CAAGAUUGUUUUUUUUACCAUGGCCUGCUAAAAUGCAGGAAUGCACAGCAUAGGCAUGCUUGAAAUUGUAGCCGUUAUUAUAAUUCCGAUCAGGCCGGUAGUCCUUUCACCAUAAAGCAUAGGAAUGAAAAGGAUGCCUUAAUAGUUAUACACUGGUGCUCACAUUGCAGUGGUGCAUCUACAGACAAAAAAAACAAAACAAACCCAAAACAUUAAUGUCUUUAUAUGUGUUUGCACUAACUGGCUCCUCGAGGCUUUCCUAAUGCAACUUAAGAGAUCAUCAGCACUAAACUGCAUCUUGCUGAUCCUCAGGGUUCAUAAGGGUACUUAGCAAUAAAAAGACCUUGUUUAUUUCACAUGUCGUAGUCUCAGCCUCUGUUAAGGACCCCUGGCUAGUGAAUACAUAAUCUUCCCCUUAACUUGCACCCAAAAUGCAUAAACUGCCAGAUACAUGAAUGAACUGCCUAGUGCCGAGCUCAUGUCAGGGGUGGUUAUUAAGGCUGGCCUGUUAAAUGGUCACAUGACGAGUGCUUUUUUACUUCUGAGCAUUGCACACACCUCCUAAUGAGGCAGCUCUAAUUUAAGUACUUACUGUUUUAAGGAGAAGAGGCACCAGUGUCAGCUAUCAUGUGAGCAGACAUUUAAAGCUGUGUAUCGGGGCAAUAUGAUAGUAUAAAAAGAGAUUUUUGCUGCUUUAACAGUAAAUUAUACAGUGCAGCCCCCGUCAUCAUUUUCUGUCCUGCUUAUCCUACACAGGGUCGCGGGGAGCCUGGAGUCUAUCCAAGAGAACCUGGGGCACAAGGCAGGGGACACUCUGGAUGGGGUGCAAACCCAUUGCAGGGUACAAUACACUCACUCAGACACUACGGAGAAUUUUAGAGAUGCCAAUCAGCCUACAACGCAUGUCUUUGGACUGGAGAGGAAACCGGAAACACAAGGUGGAGGUGGGACUUGAACCCCCAACCCCAGAGUCUCUGGUCUCUUGUUGUGUGCCUCAAUCAGCCUCGCCGGGACACCAGUCCAUCACAGCGCUCAUCCUUUUCAGGGUCACAGGGAAACCUGGAGUCUAUCCCAGGGAGCAUCGGGCACAAGGCGGGGUAAACCCUGGACAGGGUGCCAAUCCAUCACAGGGCACACAAUCUACGGACACUUUUAGAUGCCAGUCAGACUACCGUGCACGUCUUUGGACUGGGGGAGGAAACCGGAGUACCCGGAGGAAACCCAUGCAUCACGGGGAGAACAUGCGGGAAUCGAACCCCCGACCCUGGCGGUGUGAGGCGAUUUGUUAAUCUGCUUGAUUUACUCUCUAAAAUGUAAGCUUUAUUCCUAAAAAAAAAAAAUCUGCAAUGUUUUGUUCUCAAGACAAAACUUGAGCAACCGAACAAACAGCCUGCGCUGUAAACCUCGGAUCGUGUCGUGAUCACAGGCUUUUGCUGUUGGCAGAUCGUUUCCACAGCUCCUCUCACGUGGCGUGCAGACGUCCGCGCACCUCCAGGACCUGACGAGUCCGUUUUUGUUCACAUACAAUUAUUAAGAUGCCACGAAACCAAAAUCAUCUGGCAAGCUGAGAUAAGCCCGGGGCAGAUGCAAAUGUUGCCACAGCUGGAUACAAAUUUCACCCGUGAGCUUUUAUGGAAGACGUGUUGGUGAUGAAAGAGUGUGAUGUUAAGUUUCACCACACAGCUGUCUCUUUGAAUAUAACUGAUGACUAAAAUUGAUGGCCAGUAUUAUGUUCUUUAUCGUUUUCUCGUUUUCUUCCAGUGUUUAAUAACAGCUGCAAGGCACCAUAAUGGCAAAAAAAGUGCUUCCCUAAAUGUGUCCCGAGUGUUCCUUUGAGCACCUUGUGCACAGAUGUUGAACAUGCUAAAUUUAUAUUCUAAAGCUGUCUCAUACGCACUGACACUGCAACCAAUAGUUACGACCAGAUCUGAAUCUUCUUAUUUACACCACUGUGAUUUUGAAUUCUCAAACCUGAUUGGUCAAAAGGUGCUGCUUUAUUUUUCUAUACCAACUGCCUUGA
ensembl:lncRNA